AAACAGCCACAAGUGGCUGCUGGCUACCAUGUUGGACAGUGCAAUCCCAGGCUUUGAGAUUCCAGGUGGGCCGGCUCUGGAACAGUCUCCCUUUGUCUGUUCAGUUUUUCUAUUCAUACCUCUUAGGAAUGCUCUGUGGGCAGACCUGGGUUGUGUCCUUAUGCCCUUAUGCAGCCCUGAUUUUCACAGCAGUUUCACGUUCGUUUGCUCUGUAUGUAGGUGGCAGGAAACACAGUAGAAGACCUAUGGGCAUCAGGCACAUUGUUUCUUGCAAGCAACUGGAACCAACUCGGCCUGAUUUAAGCAGAAAACAAACUCAUUACAAGGAUAUUGAGAGGCUCACAGAAUCACCAGGGAGGCAGAAGAACCAGUUCAGGGUCCUGCAGCUAAGACAGUGGCUUGGGUCAAAUGCGGAUGUCACAGUCUACAUUGCUGAUACUGCUAACUUCAGUUGCUGGAGCCACCGGUCAGGCUGGUUGCCAGUGCUGCCCUCAAAGACUCAUCCUUCUGCAGCCACUGCCAGAACCCUACCGUCCUCAUAACUCUAGGCCAGGUUGGUGGUGCCUGGGUCAUCUCCCCUCCUGCAAGCUGCACAGGAGGCUGGCGAAGCAAGUAGCGCCAUUUUCAGCUUCUACAAUGGGAGACAGACUACCUUAGCUCAGGGAAUUCAACAAAGCCAGGAAGGGGGCUCAGAGGCUCGGUGAUGAAAAGAAUGAAUAUUCCUGCAUGACCACCACACAACACUUACCCAGAUCUCUAUCGAGGCCAGCAAGAUCUGCAGUUCCUCAGAUUCAGUAAAGCCUGUCUGUGAAUCUCACCAGCCAACGGAAGCUGCGCAGCCAAAUCCCAUUGCACUGGUCCCCCUGCAGAACUGCUUUCCCUGAAGGCCACUCAGGUGUGAUGCUGUGGGUGGACAGUAAAGGAGGUUAUACGGCACAACCCCAUGAAAUGUAUUAUGUCCAUCCUAAGGCCAUUGUUCACUACCCCUCACAGAGUUGGGUUGGCUGCUGGAAAGCUUUGGGCCGAAGCCACGGCCCACCUGAAGCCUGAGAAGACCCAAGAGUAGUAUUUUAUGCAUAAACCUCAUUCUUUGUUUUUUCUUACCUUUCUAACCCUUUCCCCUGAUUUUGUCACUUCUUUUAAAGGGCCCUGGAGCAGAGUGGGAAAGGACUCCGAGGCUGAAUUAAGCGGCUAUCUGCCGGCCCUGUUGGAUCCCAUCUGCC
rnacentral:lncRNA from 1 species